ACUAAGCGUACACGGUGGAUGCCCUGGCAGUCAGAGGCGAUGAAGGACGUGCUAAUCUGCGAUAAGCGCCGGUAAGGUGAUAUGAACCGUUAUAACCGGCGAUUUCCGAAUGGGGAAACCCAGUGUGAUUCGUCACACUAUCAUUAACUGAAUCCAUAGGUUAAUGAGGCGAACCGGGGGAACUGAAACAUCUAAGUACCCCGAGGAAAAGAAAUCAACCGAGAUUCCCCCAGUAGCGGCGAGCGAACGGGGAGGAGCCCAGAGCCUGAAUCAGCAUGUGUGUUAGUGGAAGCGUCUGGAAAGGCGCGCGAUACAGGGUGACAGCCCCGUACACAAAAGCGCAUGUGUUGUGAGCUCGAUGAGUAGGGCGGGACACGUGGUAUCCUGUCUGAAUAUGGGGGGACCAUCCUCCAAGGCUAAAUACUCCUGACUGACCGAUAGUGAACCAGUACCGUGAGGGAAAGGCGAAAAGAACCCCGGCGAGGGGAGUGAAAAAGAACCUGAAACCGUGUACGUACAAGCAGUGGGAGCUGAGGGAAAGGCGAAAAGAACCCCGGCGAGGGGAGUGAAAAAGAACCUGAAACCGUGUACGUACAAGCAGUGGGAGCCCCACCACUAAGCCAGUGGUGAACUCCACAUACGCAUCCUUUGCUGAGGAUACGGUUAACGGAGCGCAAGCGACGUUCAACCGCAAAAGAAGCAGAGGGGGCUUAGUGGUGGGGUGACUGCGUACCUUUUGUAUAAUGGGUCAGCGACUUAUAUUCUGUAGCAAGGUUAACCGUAUAGGGGAGCCGGAGGGAAACCGAGUCUUAAUUGGGCGUUAAGUUGCAGGGUAUAGACCCGAAACCCGGUGAUCUAGCCAUGGGCAGGUUNAGGGAAACCGAGUCUUAAUUGGGCGUUAAGUUGCAGGGUAUAGACCCGAAACCCGGUGAUCUAGCCAUGGGCAGGUUGAAGGUUGGGUAACACUAACUGGAGGACCGAACCGACUAAUGUUGAAAAAUUAGCGGAUGACCUGUGGCUGGGGGUGAAAGGCCAAUCAAACCGGGAGAUAGCUGGUUCUCCCCGAAAGCUAUUUAGGUAGCGCCUCGUGAAUUCAUCUCCGGGGGUAGAGCACUGUUUCGGCUAGGGGGCCAUCCCGGCUUACCAACCCGAUGCAAACUGCGAAUACCGGAGAAUGUUAUCACGGGAGACACACGGCGGGUGCUAACGUCCGUCGUGAAGAGGGAAACAACCCAGACCGCCAGCUAAGGUCCCAAAGUCAUGGUUAAGUGGGAAACGAUGUGGGAAGGCCCAGACAGCCAGGAUGUUGGCUUAGAAGCAGCCAUCAUUUAAAGAAAGCGUAAUAGCUCACUGGUCGAGUCGGCCUGCGCGGAAGAUGUAACGGGGCUAAACCAUGCACCGAAGCUGCGGCAGCGAGUAAUAGCUCACUGGUCGAGUCGGCCUGCGCGGAAGAUGUAACGGGGCUAAACCAUGCACCGAAGCUGCGGCAGCGAACGUAUCACUUAAAGCGAUUCAGCGGGUUACGAUUGACGGAGCGAAGCGACGUCAAAGCGUAUACAAAGUCGAGUCGGUUUAAGGAUACGUUCGUUGGGUAGGGGAGCGUUCUGUAAGCCUGUGAAGGUGGCCUGUGAGGGUUGCUGGAGGUAUCAGAAGUGCGAAUGCUNAGACCCCGUGAACCUUUACUAUAGCUUGACACUGAACAUUGAGCCUUGAUGUGUAGGAUAGGUGGGAGGCUUUGAAGUGUGGACGCCAGUCUGCAUGGAGCCGACCUUGAAAUACCACCCUUUAAUGUUUGAUGUUCUAACGUGGACCCGUAAUCCGGGUUGCGGACAGUGUCUGGUGGGUNGUUGGGUAGGGGAGCGUUCUGUAAGCCUGUGAAGGUGGCCUGUGAGGGUUGCUGGAGGUAUCAGAAGUGCGAAUGCUGACAUAAGUAACGAUAAAGCGGGUGAAAAGCCCGCUCGCCGGAAGACCAAGGGUUCCUGUCCAACGUUAAUCGGGGCAGGGUGAGUCGACCCCUAAGGCGAGGCCGAAAGGCGUAGUCGAUGGGAAACGGGUUAAUAUUCCCGUACUUGGUGUUACUGCGAAGGGGGGACGGAGAAGGCUAUGUUGGCCGGGCGACGGUUGUCCCGGUUUAAGCGUGUAGGUGUGUGUUCCAGGUAAAUCCGGUUCACUUUAACACUGAGGCGUGAUGACGAGGCACUACGGUGCUGAAGCAACAAAUGCCCUGCUUCCAGGAAAAGCCUCUAAGCAUCAGGUAACAUCAAAUCGUACCCCAAACCGACACAGGUGGUCAGGUAGAGAAUACCAAGGCGCUUGAGAGAACUCGGGUGAAGGAACUAGGCAAAAUGGUGCCGUAACUUCGGGAGAAGGCACGCUGACAUGUAGGUGAAGUGAUUUACUCAUGGAGCUGAAGUCAGUCGAAGAUACCAGCUGGCUGCAACUGUUUAUUAAAAACACAGCACUGUGCAAACACGAAAGUGGACGUAUACGGUGUGACGCC
rnacentral:rRNA from 1 species